rnacentral:misc_RNA from 1 species
CAACCUCAGAAGAAACUAUUUACAUAAUUACAAGCAGUAACUACAACAUUGAUAUGGGAAUAUGUGCAAAUCAUUCCUAAUCACUUACAACUACUUUGAAUGCAGGCCAUUAUACACAAAUUGAAUCCAGAAACCCAGUAUCAGGCAACUUAAGAUUGGUCAAGGAGAUAAAUUUUAAGUUAGCUUGUUAGAAGCUGCUCCUACUGGAAAUGGUACAUAUCAUCAUUUUCCAUGUCAUCAAGAGAGGUUGCUGCUGCUUCACUCGUCUCACCUAGUUCAGCUUUGGCUUGGCGGUAACGUUCAAGCAUCCGCUGAUAUUGCUGGCGUGCCUCUGGAGAAUCAACCAUUGACAGCUGAGACAGACUCAUCAAUAGCUCCAUCAACUUUUUGUUUGCGGAAUACCUUGAGAAUAUCUUCAUCUUCACUUUCAUCAAUGGGUUCUACGUCAUUCCGGAAACCCCGCAAACCAGCUCCUUUGCGUCUCCACCUCAGCACAACCUUAUCUAGAAUUCCAACAGCCCAACAGAUUACCUUGUAGUGCUUCCUAACUUGAUAACCUCUCACGUGAGCCUGUAUCUUAACAACUUUCUGUCGAAAUGCUAGAAAAUCCUUGCGACCUUUCCACCCUCUAUAUUUCUUCUGAAUAGACAAAGCAGCUAAAUUGUAAUCACGUGCAUUGCGAAAGGCCAGUUUUGACAUAGCUGAAAGCCCUUGAAUAUCACCAGAAAUGACACCAUACUCAUCUAUACUAUUAGUAGAGGUAAGAGCUUCUCUCUCUUGUCGCUUUCUGAAAGAAUGUGCUCUGAAAGCAGAUUGUAUUCGUGCAGCAGCUUGAGCUGCAUUUCGAACUGCAGCCAAGGUAUCUUUAAGUGAAGCCUGGUCUUCAUUGGCAGCAAAAUUCCCCUUUGAGAUGGCAUCUACAGUUCUCUCGGCUUCAGCCUCAGCAGAUCCUUUAGAAAGCUCACUCUCUUCUAGUGUAAGGGAUGAAAGAUGGCUUGUUAGUGCCACCUCCGAAAGAUAACCUGCAAGCCCCUUAUGACCACUGCUGGCAGCAAUUGAUGCUGGAGUUUUGCCAAUUGGAUCCCGUGAAGUGGGAUCUGUGACAGCCCCAGCUGAUGCACCAGAAGCUAUGAGGGCUGCAACCAUUUUUUCCCUUCCAAA